rnacentral:rRNA from 1 species
AGUGAACGCUGGCGGUAGGCCUAACACAUGCAAGUCGAACGGCAGCACAGUAAGAGCUUGCUCUUACGGGUGGCGAGUGGCGGACGGGUGAGGAAUACAUCGGAAUCUACUUUUUCGUGGGGGAUAACGUAGGGAAACUUACGCUAAUACCGCAUACGACCUACGGGUGAAAGCAGGGGAUCUUCGGACCUUGCGCGAUUGAAUGAGCCGGUGUCGGAUUAGCUAGUUGGCGGGGUAAAGGCCCACCAAGGCGACGAUCCGUAGCUGGUCUGAGAGGAUGGUCAGCCACACUGGAACUGAGACACGGUCCAGACUCCUACGGGAGGCAGCGGUGGGGAAGAGUGGAAAAUGGGCGCAAGCCUGAUCAGCCAUACCGCGUGGGUGAAGAAGGCCUUCGGGUUGUAAAGCCCUUUUGUUGGGAAAGAAAAGCAGCAGGUUAAUACCCCGCUGUUCUGACGGUACCCAAAGAAUAAGCACCGGCUAACUUCGUG